CCUACGGGAGGCAGCAGUGGGGGAUAUUGCACAAUGGGGAAACCCUUAUGCAGCGACGCCGCGUGUGGGGAGACGGUCCUCUGGAUUGUAAACCACUUUCCCCCGGGACGAAGGUGACGGUACCUGGGGGGGAAGCCCCGGCGAACUACGGGCCAGCAGCCGCGGGAAUACGUAGGGAGCGAGCGUUGUCCGGAAUUACGGGGUGUAAAGGGGGCGUAGGCGGGGAUGCAAGUUGGGUGUCAAAACUACCGGCUCAACUGGUAGUCGCACUCAAAACUGCAGCUCUUGAGUGAAGUAGAGGCAGGCGGAAUUCCUAGUGUAGCGGUGAAAUGCGUAGAUAUUAGGAGGAACACCAGUGGCGAAGGCGGCCUGCUGGGCUUUUACUGACGCUGAGGCUCGAAAGUGUGGGGAGCAAACAGGAUUAGAUACCCCGGUAGUC
rnacentral:rRNA from 1 species